GGGGGGGCGGCGGUGAAGAAUCGGGGCUGAGAGAAGGAAAGAACGCCGAAUGUGAAUGCUACGGAGGUGUUUAAGAACCAAGCUUGGAAGCCUGGAGGGCUCAGGUGGGUUCGUGUCUUGAAAAAUGCCAAUUAAAGAAAAAAAAGAAACCUGGGAGCCCAACUCCAGGGGAAUGGUUAAAGUUUUACAGCGCCUCCCCUCCGGAUACUCACCCUUCGUGAUGAAUUUGCGAGCGCCUGCCUGCAGGCCAGGGCUGUGAGUAGCAGAGAAGGAAGACACCAACUCCUCGCCCUAUAGGACUUAAUAGCCAACUCAUAUAAUAAUUACUGUUUACGAGACACUGUUGUCCUUCAGCUGUCAAACACCACCACCAAAUAGGUGCUAUUAUCAUCCUGUUUGGCAGAUGAAGAAACUGAGGCACAACUGAGGCCAUCCAGAGCACCCGGGUGGCUCAGCCCUUACGCAUCUGACUU